rnacentral:rRNA from 1 species
UACAGAGGUCUCAAGCGUUGUUCGGAAUCACUGAGCGUAAAGGGUGCGUAGGCGGCGGGGAAAGUCAGAUGUGAAAUCCGGAGGCUCAACCUCCGAAUGGCAUCCGAUACUACCUCGCUAGAGAUUUGUAGAGGAGCUUGGAAUUCUCGGUGUAGCAGUGAAAUGCGUAGAUAUCGAGAAGAACGCUCGCAGCGAAAGCGAAGCUCUGGGCAAAUUCUGACGCUGAUGCACGAAGGCUAGGGGAGCAAACGGG